rnacentral:lncRNA from 1 species
CGCCCACCGCCCGGGGCCAGCAGAGGGCGCGCGCCCUCCACUCGGCGCUCCGCAGCCCCGCGAGUUCCCACAGGGCCUCGCGCGCCAUGGGCUGUGCGAAGAGCAAAGAGACGUGUUGGGCUGCCCGGCGGCAGCAGGAGGCCGUGGGCCCGAGCUGCAGGGCCCACCGUUCCUCAGGGGUGCUUGCUGUUUCCUGGGGCUGCGGCAGCCGCAGCGCAGACUGUUCUCUCUGCGCUGUGCUCAGCCUGGUCGUGCCAGAGAGGAGGGAAGAGAGGGGAGUCCCGGCCACCUGCCGCUCCGGACUCAGCAUCCCGCUUUGCUCAGCCGCUGUGCCAGUGCUGGGGUGGCUGGACCAUGCCCUCCCCGCACUCUCCCUGUCCUCUGCAGGUACUUUCUGCCUGUGGCUAGACACCCUCCUGGUCUGCCCUCACUUCUGCGCACAAGCUGGAGCCAGCGGCUCUUCUUGUGACUGCUUUACUUUUUUUUUUUUUUAAAUUUGCACGUGAGCAGGGCCCGGCCCCGUGGCCGAGUGGUUAAGUUGGCACCCUCUGCUUUGGUGGCCCAGGGUUUCGCUGGUUCGGAUCCUGGGCGCUGACAUGGCCCAGAAAAAAUAAAAUCUUAAAAGAUAAUAAUAAAUAAAUAAAUAAAUUGGCACCUGAGCUAACAUCUGUUGCCAGUAUUUUUCUUCUUCUUCUUCUUCUCCCCGAAGCCCCCCCA